GUUUCAAUGGAUUUAUCACUGCUGUCUUUAAAAGAUGACGGUUUUCAUCUGACAACUCCUGAUCCUCCUGACACAUCCAAAGAUGAGAUGGAUAGUCUUAAACAAGAACUGGAGAAAUGGAAGGAAAGACUUGAAAAAGCUGAAAAAUUAAAAGCUGACCUUCAAGUUUGUAAAUUAAGUGCUGACGAAGAAUAUGUUAAACAACAGGAUGAGCUGAGACAGCUAAAGGAGCUUGAACGGAACCUUCAUAAAGAGGGUAUUAUGUCUAGGGACACCCACGAGGUAUGGAGAAGGCUUACAGCUCUCAGUAUUUGGGGAAUUGCGAGGGAGGUUUUGGUUAGAGAAGAUAAGAGUAGGAUUUCCUUUCCAGUUUAAACAGCUUCACCACUUUGCAGACUGUAGGACUAGGCUAUUUUACACACAGUUUUUCAAUGGCAGAUUAAGAACUGGUACAAUAAAAUAAAACUUACAGUAAUGUUGGAAGAGUGA
rnacentral:lncRNA from 1 species